CUUCGGCGUCAUGGGCUACCAGUUCAAGCCGGACACGCCGCUGCUCCAGACAUGGGGUUGGAGUGAUGGAGAGCUGGUGCGACUCUACUCGUCACGACUGGUACGUGCUGUGGACUUGCAGCGUGAGUACUUCAAUGCAUCAGAUGUUGCACGCGGUGAUGUCACUGAGGAGCCUCUGGGGCCAGUUCUCAACUCAGACAGCAUGCAUGAUUGAGCUGCUCUGGUAGUCAGCAACUUUUUUAUGCUCAAUGGCUGGUGUUGCAAAGUACAUUGGCAAGAGUAGUGGCAAGCUUCAGAAGAGGACUGAAGAUCCUUGGAC